rnacentral:rRNA from 1 species
CUCGCCUUCUGUCAGCGGUCUAGGGCCUCCCAGUUCUGGCAAUCCAUCAUUCAGCUUCUCUCUGUCCUCCGGAUCGGGACUUUGAUCGCGAUUGGGUCCGGCACCGCCAUGCUGUUCUGGUUCGAUAGGUGGACUGGUGACACGCCUCUUGCGGCCCGCUUUCCGGUCCUGUUCUCCAUCGCGAUUGCCCCCCGGAUUUCCGUGGCGACCGCCCUUGCUGACUUAGGGCAGCUUGCGAUCUAGAGACCUUUUGGCCCGGCAGAGAACACGGACUGGCAGGAGUUGCUCGACUGUAUUGCACUCCACGAGCCUGAUCUCACGACAGAUGAUGACCGGACCAGAUGGCGUCUAGAGCCUUCUGGUAAAUUCUCCACCAAAUCUCUAUACCUGGCCAUCACCCCCUCUCUUGGCCAUGAGGAGCUCUCCUCCAUUUGGGAUAUUCGCCUCCCCCUGAAAAUUAGGAUCUUCUUCUGGCAAUGGAUUCGCGGUCGUCUCCCAUCAGGCGUAGAGGUUCUGAAGCGCAAUAACCCUGGUGAUGGGCGUUGCCCGCUCCGCGGGCCUGAAGAAGACUUGAACCAUAUAUUCUUCACUUGCAUGUCCGCGCAGUUCCUAUGGAGCUGUUUCCGCGAGAUUGUGGGUGGAAGAUGGGACCAUAACAACUUCCCCGCUCUCUUUGCCGAACGCCAGGCGAUCCCUCACGCAUUACGCCACAUUAGGUGGCUGACCAUUGGGGUCCUUGCCUGGACGCUGUGGACAGUUAGGAAUAAACUUGUGAUUUAG